UGUGUUCAGGAGCAGUAAUCACGAUUGUGCGCUACGACAUCUAUGAUGACCUGCUGCUAGUAAUCGCUUGCAAUUUCUUGGACGGCAUCCACCACCAUGCUUAUACUUUUGUUUACAAAAUUCUAACCUAAUAAUUAUGGAUGAAUUUGUGUUUAAUAUGUUGAUGGAAAACCCGUUGGAGGAACACAUAAAAGCCGUUAGCGUAGUUGCAAAAGUAUCAGCGAAUAUGAAUGAUGAUGUUAUUGGUUUAGAAGAUACAGUUGCAGAAGAAUAUGGUCGUUUAAUGACUCUGAAUGUUUGGAACAUUUUCGAAUGAAGGGGACCACUUUGCAGGCACUCUAUGAAUAUUUAAAGACAAAGUGCAACUUUGACAGUGCGAAAGUUCCAGGUGAUAAGCAGUUAUAUGUAUAACAUUGUGGACUCUGGCAAAUAAAGAUUCCUAUCGAGAAGUA